rnacentral:tRNA from 1 species
GUCGUUGUAGUAUAGUGGUGAGUAUCCCGCCUGUCACGCGGGGAGACCCGGGUUCGAUCCCCGGCAACGGCG